rnacentral:lncRNA from 1 species
UGAGGAGUAAAAUGUGUAGGCCCUCUGCAGCACAAUGAAAGCUUGCAUUUUUUUUCAACUUAUGCAUAUCCUUGCAAGAAGAAAAUCGAGUUAUACAAUUGAAGUAUUUCCAUUGCUUUUUCUUCAUUCUCUGUGUCCAGCUAUGCAGGAUCACGAAAACAUGCUAGUACCGAAGUAUAUUUUCUGAUGGUUUUUAUACAGCAAACAUGGUUGAGAAACAAAGAACUGAGACUGAAAUAAAGGCAGAUGUUUAUAAGGUAGAAGAUGGUUCACUUUAUAGCCUAAAUCUCUGCAGUACAUUUGACAUCUUUUCAUCAUCUAUGGUUGUACUUGCGCAGGAGGAAAUGGGCCCUUUACUACUCUUGUUACAGACUGAGCCACCUAGCAGUGAAAUUGAUUUUGCUUCAGCCACUGGAUUUUCAGCUUGAGCUGUGGUAGCAUUUGGAGAAGAGUCUGUGCAGGAUGUCAGGGAUCUAUUUUGAAGGAAAAUGUGAUGUGUUCCUAAACUGAAAGUAUCUGCACUCAUGGGAAAGUUCUGGAAGAAGGCUAAAUGAAAAAAGAUGCAGCUGGAUCUAAAAACCUGAGUUUUGUUACUAAGUGAGAAAUUGCAGUGUUUGGAGUGUUCGGCUGUGUAACUAAGGAUCAACAGAGUAUUAAGAAGGUAAAUGAUUUAAUUUACUGAUUAAUUAAAGCUGAAACAUUUUCUCUGAAUUUAAAACCAUCACAAG